rnacentral:rRNA from 1 species
GCCAGCAGCCGCGGUAAUACGUAGGGGGCAAGCGUUAUCCGGAAUCACUGGGCGUAAAGGGUGCGUAGGCGGCUGAUCAAGCCAGGGGUGAAAGGCAAUAGCUUAACUAUUGUGAGCCUUUGGAACUGGUCAGCUUGAGUGCAGGAGAGGAAAGCGGAAUUCCUAGUGUAGCGGUGAAAUGCGUAGAUAUUAGGAGGAACACCCGUGGCGAAGGCGGCUUUCUGGACUGUAACUGACGCUGAGGCACGAAAGCGUGGGGAGCAAACAGGAUUAGAUACCCUGGUAGUCCACGCUGUAAACGAUGAAUACUAGGUGUCGGGGGUCAAAGCCCGGUGCCGCAGCUAACGCAUUAAGUAUUCCGCCUGGGGAGUACGGUCGCAAGACUGAAACUCAAGGAAUUGACGGGGACC